ACGACUCUCGGCAACGGAUAUCUCGGCUCACGCAUCGAUGAAGAACGUAGCAAAAUGCGAUACUUGGUGUGAAUUGCAGAAUCCCGUGAAUCAUCGAGUUUUUGAACGCAAGUUGCGCCCGAAGCCAUUCGGCCGAGGGCACGUCUGCCUGGGCGUCACGCA
rnacentral:rRNA from 1 species